GAUACAAAAGCAAGCAGGAAAGAACGGAUGAAGCGAGAGGGCGGCACGCAAGUGACAUGGCGGUCAGGCUGAAGGAUAACAGACAGAGCGUGUGCAGAAUAAACAUGAUCCGUCAAAGUAGUUGAAGAAAGCAGGAACAUCAGGGCAAGAAAGCAAAGUGUUCAUACUACUGGAAGAAAAUGAACAGGUUGAGCCGAUCAACACUUUACCCAUAAAACAAGAAGAUGUUAAGCGGAAGAAUCAAUCGCGCGAGAUGACACAGCACUUCUGUUUC
ncrna:unclassified sequences RAGATH-8 RNA